rnacentral:rRNA from 1 species
GACGAACGCUGGCGGCGUGCCUAAUACAUGCCAGUUGAGCGCUGAAGGUUGGUACUUGUACCAACUGGAUGAGCAGCGAACGGGUGAGUAACGCGUGGGGAAUCUGCCUUUGAGCGGGGGACAACAUUUGGAAACGAAUGCUAAUACCGCAUAAAAACUUUAAACACAAGUUUUAAGUUUGAAAGAUGCAAUUGCAUCACUCAAAGAUGAUCCCGCGUUGUAUUAGCUAGUUGGUGAGGUAAAGGCUCACCAAGGCGAUGAUACAUAGCCGACCUGAGAGGGUGAUCGGCCACAUUGGGACUGAGACACGGCCCAAACUCCUACGGGAGGCAGCAGUAGGGAAUCUUCGGCAAUGGACGAAAGUCUGAACGAGCAACGCCGCGUGAGUGAAGAAGGUUUUCGGAUCGUAAAACUCUGUUGGUAGAGAAGAACGUUGGUGAGAGUGGAAAGCUCAUCAAGUGACGGUAACUACCCAGAAAGGGACGGCUAACUACGUG